CCUAGCCAUUCCCUCUGUUGAGUCCAUUCCCCUUCAUGAAAGCUUAGAUUUGGGACACUACCAAAGCAAUGACUUGAAAGUCUUGAAGGGCAUUCACGGAUUCAAGAUGCUUGAUUCCCCCAAAGCAAAGACUUGAAAGUCUUAAAAGGAGCAUAUCCUUCUAGCUGAUAUUUCUCUCCUUCUACCCAUUUCUUUUCCCCAUUUCUCGAUUCCCCCAUUUCUCGAUUCAAGAGGUUUGAAAGGCAUAGCCCUUUUGAGAGAGAAUGAUGUGAAGCCUGGAGAACAGUGAAUGCAAAAGGUGAAACGAAGCUGAGGCUUGGUCAAUUUCUUUUUGACACUGUGAUUUUUCUGUUGGCUUGUUCUUUUGUUUUAGUCGCUGCAUCAAACAGACAUAAAAAAUAGCUGAUUCGAUGUUCAA